rnacentral:rRNA from 1 species
GGAGCACGCCGCGUGAGUGAUGAAGGCUUUCGGGUCGUAAAACUCUGUUGUUAGGGAAGAACAAGUGCUAGUUGAAUAAGCUGGCACCUUGACGGUACCUAACCAGAAAGCCACGGCUAACUACGUGCCAGCAGCCGCGGUAAUACGUAGGUGGCAAGCGUUAUCCGGAAUUAUUGGGCGUAAAGCGCGCGCAGGUGGUUUCUUAAGUCUGAUGUGAAAGCCCACGGCUCAACCGUGGAGGGUCAUUGGAAACUGGGAGACUUGAGUGCAGAAGAGGAAAGUGGAAUUCCAUGUGUAGCGGUGAAAUGCGUAGAGAUAUGGAGGAACACCAGUGGCGAAGGCGACUUUCUGGUCUGUAACUGACACUGAGGCGCGAAAGCGUGGGGAGCAAACAGGAUUAGAUACCCUGGUAGUCCACGCGUAAACGAUGAGUGCUAAGUGUUAGAGGGUUUCCGCCCUUUAGUGCUGAAGUUAACGCAUUAAGCACUCCGCCUGGGGAGUACGGCCGCAAGGCUGAAACUCAAAGGAAUUGACGGGGCCCGCACAAGCGGUGGAGCAUGUGGUUUAAUUCGAAGCCGCGAAGAACCUUCCAGGUCUUGACAUCCUCUGACAACCUAGAAUAGGGCUUCUCCUUCGGAGCAGAGUGACAGGUGGUGCAUGGUUGUCGUCAGCUCGUGUCUGAGAUGU